rnacentral:rRNA from 1 species
UACGAGGGGGGCAAGCGUUGUUCGGAAUUAUUGGGCGUAAAGGGUGCGUAGGCGGUCUGAUAAGUCAUCUGUGAAAUCUAUGGGCUCAACCCAUAGUCUGCAGGCGAAACUGUCGGGCUUGAGUAUGGGAGAGGUGAGUGGAAUUUCCGGUGUAGCGGUGAAAUGCGUAGAUAUCGGAAGGAACACCUGUGGCGAAAGCGGCUCACUGGACCAUUACUGACGCUCAGGUGCGAAAGCGUGGGGAGCAAACAGG